rnacentral:rRNA from 1 species
CCCAGACUCCUACGGGAGGCAGCAGUGGGGGAUAUUGCACAAUGGGGGGAACCCUGAUGUAGCGACGCCGCGUGGGUGAAGGAGCGUUUCGGCGCGUAAAGCCCUCUCGGCAGGGAAGAAGGAGGACGGUACCUGACUAAGAAGCCCCGGCUAACUACGUGCCAGCAGCCGCGGUAAUACGUAGGGGGCAAGCGUUAUCCGGAUUUACUGGGUGUAAAGGGGGCGCAGACGGCAGCGCAAGCCAGGAGUGAAAGCCCGGGGCCCAACCCCGGGACUGCUCUUGGAACUGCGCGGCUGGAGUGCAGGAGGGGCAGGCGGAAUUCCUGGUGUAGCGGUGAAAUGCGUAGAUAUCAGGAGGAACACCGGUGGCGAAGGCGGCCUGCUGGACUGCGACUGACGUUGAGGCCCGAAAGCGCGGGGAGCAAACAGGAUUAGAUACCCUGGUA